UACGUAGGGUGCGAGCGUUAAUCGGAAUUACUGGGCGUAAAGCGUGCGCAGGCGGUUGUGCAAGACAGAUGUGAAAUCCCCGGGCUUAACCCUGGGAACUGCAUUUGUGACUGCACGGCUAGAGUGUGUCAGAGGGGGGGUAGAAUUCCACGUGUAGCAGUGAAAUGCGUAGAUAUGUGGAGGAAUACCGAUGGCGAAGGCAGCCCCCCUGGGAUAACACUGACGCUCAUGCACGAAAAGCGUGGGGGGAGCAAAACAGG
rnacentral:rRNA from 1 species